CAAAUCAAGCCCAGUGGAGAAAAUUGUGAUAGAGGGUGGCGUGUCGGCGUUGCUAUCUAUCCCUUUAACUCUUGAGUCGAGCCCUUUAGAUAAGAUCACAAUAGAGAGCAAUGUGUCUGCUUCCACUACCAUGCUGUCCUUCCCAAGUGGAUGCUUUCAAUCAUGCCCUGUGGAUAAGAUCACAACCAAAAGCAGUGUAUCUGCCUUCAUUUCCAGACCCUCCACUCCAGAAGCCUGUUUUGAGCUGAAUCCCUUGGAGAAGUUCACAGUAGAAAGCAAUGUGUCUACUUUCAUUUCAGGGGUAGGCCUCUGACUGUUGUCCUCUUGAUAAGUUACUGUUCAGUCAUCUAGAGUGAUGUGGUUUCUGAAUUAUUUUCUUUACAGAUCACCCCAAAGAUGUCACCUACUAUUGACCCUCUGGUGGAAGACCUUUGCCAGCGACUAGAGGCUUUAAGAUUUCGGUCAAAUACAAGGUAGUUGAAACCACAAUGCUGGACAGGUUAAUGCCAGCUAAGAACAUACUGGGAUCAAUCAGGAUGAUCACAUGAGACAGCAGGUUAUGGGGCAGAAGAGAAGACAGAGGUAGACUGAAGCAGCGCAAGACCAAGAAACCAUCUAGUGAGCACAUCUUCUGUUCUGUUCAAUGGCUGCCGAUUGCAUUUCUAUGUAUCCAGUUAGAAACAUGGACAAAUGUUCUUGAUAUCAGUGGUCACUUCACAGAUCCAGUUGCCUAUAAAAGCUUCAUCUGUUUCACAGCCAGAUGGCUUCAUUCUAAAUGGCAAUGCAAUGAAAGAAAAUGUGAGGUCAUCUAUGGCUAGACUAGACGCAAACCUAAG